rnacentral:rRNA from 1 species
GACGAACGCUGGCGGCGUGCUUAACACAUGCAAGUCGAACGGAAAGGCCCUGCUUUUGUGGGGUGCUCGAGUGGCGAACGGGUGAGUAACACGUGAGUAACCUGCCCUUGACUUUGGGAUAACUUCAGGAAACUGGGGCUAAUACCGGAUAGGAGCUCCUGCUGCAUGGUGGGGGUUGGAAAGUUUCGGCGGUUGGGGAUGGACUCGCGGCUUAUCAGCUUGUUGGUGGGGUAGUGGCUUACCAAGGCUUUGACGGGUAGCCGGCCUGAGAGGGUGACCGGCCACAUUGGGACUGAAAUACGGCCCAGACUCAUACGGGAGGCAACAGUGGAGAAUAGUGCACAGUAAGCGGGGGCGUGAUGCAGCAACGCCGCGUGGGGGAUGACGGGCUUCGGGUUGUAAACCGCUGUCGCCUGUGACGAAGCGUGAGUGACGGUAAUGGGUAAAGAAGCACCGGCUAACUACGUG